AGAGUUUGAUCAUGGCUCAGGACGAACGCUGGCGGCGUGCCUAAUACAUGCAAGUCGAGCGAAUCUUCAGGAGCUUGCUCCUGAAGGUUAGCGGCGGACGGGUGAGUAACACGUGGGCAACCUGCCUGUAAGACUGGGAUAACUUCGGGAAACCGGAGCUAAUACCGGAUAAUCCUUUCCCUCUCAUGAGGGAGAACUGA
rnacentral:rRNA from 1 species